rnacentral:rRNA from 1 species
CCUACGGGCGGCAGCAGUAGGGAAUCUUUCACAAUGGGCGAAAGCCUGAUGGAGCAACGCCGCGUGCAGGAUGAAGGCCUUCGGGUUGUAAACUGCUUUUAUAAGCGAGAAAUAUGAUGGUAACUUAUGAAUAAGGAUCGGCUAACUACGUGCCAGCAGCCGCGGUCAUACGUAGGAUCCGAGCAUUAUCCGGAGUGACUGGGUGUAAAGAGUUGCGUAGGUGGCAUAAGAAGUAGCUAGUGAAAUCUGGUGGCUCAACCAUUCAGACUAUUAGCUAAACUGUUAAGCUCGAGACCGUUAGGGGUAACUGGAAUUUCUAGUGUAGGAGUGAAAUCCGUAGAUAUUAGAAGGAACACCAAUAGCGUAGGCAGGUUGCUGGGACGGUUCUGACACUAAGGCACGAAAGCGUAGGGAGCAAACGGGAUUAGAUACCCCAGUAGUC